AUGACCAAGUUACCUUCAGUUCUUCUUGGAGAACCUUGCAGACUGGAGAAGGAGGUAAAACAAGAAAUGGAAAGACUGCAACUUACUGUUGGAAAACAUAAUGUCAUUGAUCAGUACUGCUUAGUGGAGAUGAAAAGUUUGCAAGCCCGUAUUCUUGAAACUAGCACAUCCAUCCUCAUUCAAUACACUGCUGUCUUGACUUACAUUGGCCACUGUCUGGUGCUUCUCAACUACAGCGAAGAAGAGAAAAUUGACUGUAUCACACUGUUCAGCUUAGAAACUGGAAUGGUGGGUAUUGUGUUUUGUAAGCUUAAAUGCACUGUUCACAUUGAAAAGCGGCUGCUAGAUGUGAUAUUUAUAAAAAUAACUGAGAGUUUAGAGUGCAGAUAUUUGCAUGAAAGUGCUCAGAAUUGA
rnacentral:lncRNA from 1 species